rnacentral:rRNA from 1 species
AGUGAACGCUGGCGGUAGGCCUAACACAUGCAAGUCGAACGGCAGCACAGGAGAGCUUGCUCUCUGGGUGGCGAGUGGCGGGCGGGUGAGGAAUACAUCGGAAUCUGCCCAGUCGUGGGGGAUAACGUAGGGAAACUAUGACUAUAACCCCACAGACCCUCCGGGGGAAAAAGGGGGGCAUCAUGACCCCUCGCGCUAUAGUAGGCGACGUCGGAUUAGCUAGUUGUCGGGGUAAUGGCCCACCAAGGCGGCGAUCCGUAGCUGGUCUGAGAGGAUGAUCAGCCACACUGGAACUGAGACACGGCCCAGACUCCUACGGGAGGCAGCAGUGGGGAAUAUUGGACAAUGGGCGCAAGCCUGAUCCAGCCAUACCGCGUGGGUGAAGAAGGCCUUCGGGUUGUAAAGCCCUUUUGUUGGGAAAGAAAUCUUUCAGGCUAAUACCCUGGGAGGAUGACGGUACCCAAAGAAUAAGCACCGGCUAACUUCGUG